UUUGUUCUGUAGACCAUAAAAGCAUCUGACACAAACAAACAAACAAAAAAACUGCUACAAAUGCAGUAUUUGUUACAUUGAAAGAAACUUUACAAACCUAACAUGAAAACAAACCCAAAAAUAAUAGUAAAUCAUAUUGUAUGCUCUUUUCCAUUGCUGCCUUUACAUGAUUUGAAACCUGAUGAAGAGCUUAUUUGCCUUAAAGCUUGUUUUUUACCAACUGUAUCAGUUAAUCUAAUAAAAGAUAAUGACUAUACAAACUCUCUCCUCACAUACAUUUCACAGAGUCUAGAUAGAGGGGAAAAAAUUAAGUUUGAAAACCCUACUUGUGCAGUCCCAUUGAAAGGACAACGAAUUUGUCUGGAUGCAAUAUGUAAUAAAUAACCCUAUGGGAAAAAAACAAAACAACAAAAAAAAAAAAGCAGAAACUCUCACAGCAUGUGCUUUACAAACUUGAAUAACUUGGACAUUUAAAUUGUUUUGUUUGGUCUCUUGCAUAUGGCAAAAUGGCCCAAUUGAUGCACUAAGUACCAUCAGUAUUUCAUUUUUAAGAAUUUAUCUGUUCUCCCUCCCCCUCCCCAUGAUGAUGGAGGAUAGGAUCAGUUUAGUAUCUGGAUCGCUGGCAGUGCACUUGAGUGCUGGUGAGUCAGCUAGAUGGGAAUGCUCCCUCUGAGUCAGUGCGGAGCCAGCCUCCCAGCAUGGUGCUUGGGGACACUCUGGUGCUUGAGCUGCAAUCAUUUAGAUCAGAGAAAACCAAAGCCCUGAACAGUUGCGGUCACUUGAGAUCAGAUGGAAAAAAACAGAGAGAUUAUGCCACCAAGCCACCCAGUGAGCCAGGAGAAUGUGGAACUAUUCUGAAGCACUGAUGGGUAUCACUGUGCUCCUGCAGGCCCCUGUCCCUCCAGCGGGUAGAAACUCAGUUUACAUCCUCCUGGAAGGGGAGUGUGGCUGCACGUGAGACUUCCUGGAAUACCACAAAGUGAGCGGGAAAUUGGGACCCACUUCUAACAUGGAAAAAAAUUACAGAGGAAAACAGAAAGCUAUUUUUGGCACGCUGAAUUCAGUAGAUGAAAAGCUGAGAUAAUCCUAUAGGAACUGUUUUGGAUCUUGAACAAGUCUAAUGGGGAGUGAAUAGGCAGCUUCAAGGGUCCUGACAAAGUGUGCAAGUGACAAAUGAAAGGAAGAUGUUCAUUUAUACACACUAUGUGUGAUCUUCUCUAGGGCUGGGGUAUGAAUUUUGCUCUUGACCACAGUCUUCCUUCUACUUUUGUUAAGGUAAGUUUUUUCCUGUAAAAAUGGAGUGGCAUUAUAACUGUCUGCUGUGGAAUGCAUAUUGUGUCUACGUUGAUACCAGUAUAAAUCAAUUAUUUUAGUUUUUAGAAUUAUUCUAUUACUUUCUCUCAUGUAAAAAAAAAUGUAUGACUGCAUGACCAGAUAACAGCUACUUGCCAGUACCAAUGAUAAAUUUAGAUUGCUUCCAAAAUUCAUUUCCCAUAUUCUCUGACAGUAUGCAGGGAACACGAAGUUACUAAAUUUUAAAAUGUUCCACAUAGUCAUAUUAUUCCAGGAUGCCAGAAUGCACACAAGUACCCUUAGUCAUGAAGGUGUUAAUCAGUGUAUGUACCAUCUCAUCUGCAUCUAAGAAACCCUGCAAUUAAAAUUAGAACUUGUAUGCCUGGUCCCCAGUUUACUGCUUUUCAAAGUUCCUAUCUGCAUACACUGGGGACGGGAAGGGCCUUUUGAAAGUAAAUAAUUUAAAAAAAAUAGGGGGAUUUUUGAAAACUGUAGAGCUUCCCUUUAGGACCAGUCCAGGAGCUCUGUCCUUCUGUCAAAGUACAAAUUACCCCCAUAUGGUGAUGUCCGUUUGCUCAACUGUAAUUUAUUCAUUAUGCAGAGUGCCGAAUACCAAAUGGUGAAAGCACAGCAGCAGAACAAUGAAACAGGCUUAGGAAGCUAGUAAAUGUCCAAUCAAUGAGAACCUAAUGAACUAUAACAUGUAAUACUUUAUAAGGCAUUCAAAUUAAAAGGAGUAGAGGGGAGUGGGGGGGAAGAGAACUGCGACGAUGUAAUAUCAAUUUACUUAUUCCAAUUCUAAUCAAAUGAAAUAAGCAUCAUCCUCCAAAAAUACAACCAUAACUGAUAUUUGAGGAGGGGGAAUCUGGAAGGUAAUAUCAAGCAAAAAUUCCUUUAAGAACAUAAUUACAUACUAUUCACCUGUCCCUAUUUACUGCAAGUUCUUUGCAACAAGCUCCUUUGGUGAGGUAGUGAACAAUUUUUUUCAAUAUCAGUGCUUGGAAGAAGGUAGAUAAUAUGCAUCUUUAGGAUAUAUGAAUGUAAUGAGGGUAGCUGAGAUCUUUACCAAGAACUCAUAGGCGUAUUUCAUCAAAUGCAGCACCUUUACCUUACAAGACCAACGUAAAAAUUUAUCUGCACAUAGCGCUGUUCCCUCUAUCCCAAGAACCUUGUUUCAUUGUGAGUCCCAUUCCCACCUUUGCUUGAAACUCCAGGUCAAAUUCUUUAGCAAUAGGUAUAAUUAAUAAAUAAAGUACAAGGUAAUCUCAGGAGAGUGGUCUGUCCUUCCUAAGCAGCCAAUGUGCAGAAAGAACAUCUUCUGGAUAGAGCUAUUUUCAUCUAGCAAGGAAAUAACUAACUCCUUCUCCAGGCAGAGGAGGUGACGGCAGAGAUCCAGGUAUCUUGUCUGACAAAGCACUGUGUCGGUUUUACUGUCUUCUGGGCUACAUAGUCAAGAGUCUUAGUCCUUUACUCUUCUUCCAGUAAGACUCCUGUCUUUAAAUGGGAAAUUUCAAUUAAUGUGUCUCUGAAUCAUUGUUUCUCUAUUUUUAAAAGAGCUUGUACUGGGUUGUUGGCCAAUUCUUUCUUUCUUUUUUUUUCUUUUUCUUUUUUUUUUUUUUUUUUUUUUGUAAUUUAAGCCCUCUUAAUCCAUUUUAUAUUGGCUUCUAUUGCCUUCCUGACAGAAAAGGUGCCAACAAGAUGGUUCAUUCUCGUCUCAGCCAGCUACACAUAUUAGCAAUUCUCACAGCAGUUGCCAAGUAUAGCUGUAUGUCCUCCUCUUCAAGAGUGGCUGUAGUUUUCUUUUUCCACAGCAGUUGACAUUAAGUGUCUUCUGUGUUUCCUGCUGCUCCUGUUCACAUGUGAUAGCAGUUAGUGUCAGCUUCACUAUCUUUCCAUUUCUUCUUCUAUGUGUGCUUCUUUCCUUUUAUAGCUUUCUCCAUUAAAAAGAAUAAAAUAAAUCUCCCUUUUCAUUUAUAAUUCUGUGCUUACCCCAGGUUAAAUUUGAUGAAAAGCACUUUAGACUCUGGACUUCUGCAUCCUGCUCUGCUGCUAAUGUUGUGGCCUUUUGCACCAGUUGUGUGAAGUCUUUAGGUUACGCUGUAGGAGCCUUGUCUGUUUAUGAAAGCAGAAACUCGAAUGAUGUGUGCCUUCAAACACACAUGACAUAAGUGGUCAUAAAAGGUUUUGAUGCUCUCACUCCCCAGAUGGGCAGACAAGCACUAUUCUUAAUAUUCAUGUGUUUCUUAUAUAUUUUUUAUCCUGCAUUAGUACAAAACCAAUAGCAAAAGAAUGCUCUGAAAUUAUCAGCUAUACAAUGUUUCUGUGUCAGCCCCAUAACUGUGUAUAGACAUGAGAGUAGAUGACUUUUCUGGGAACUAGAAGGAUCCUAAUAUGACACAGGACAAAUCUCACUUUUCCAUCCAUGAAAGGAGGCAACAUAUACAUACGUUUUCCUUUUGUCUGGAUAGCUGUUCCAAAAAGCAGGCCCUUGGAGAAGUGUUCAGCACUAUAGGAACUCUGGAUUUACGUUGGAUGCUUUUUAAAAGAGUGGCAGAGGACAUCACGUCAGUGAGAUUUCACCAAUUCAAGGAAAAACCUUGAAAACUCUAAUCAAGUCUGUCCCAUAUUCAUGCAACAGUAAAGACAAAAGGAUGUAAGUGCAUCAAAGUCUGUUUUUGAGUCUGACUGUAAAGAAUAAGUUAUUAUUCUUUGGAUUAUUUUUUUUUACAUUUCAAUGUUAUUUGUUGGCUCACAGAUAUUUCUUUUUCUUUCUCACACCUCAUACUUUGGCAUGACAACCUCUAAGCAAAUGCUACCAAGAUUACAUUAGGAAACCUCACUCAACAAUGCAGGUACAGUAAAAGAAAAAUGAAAAUGAAAACAAAAAAAAACUCAGGAGAGAAAAAAAAAAAAAAUACCAACAAACAUGACAGAACCGCUUUGUUUCCCAAAUUAUCAUCAGGCUGUCCAGACAUGGAGAAGCAGUGAACAGCUAUCACAGUGUGGAUAAUAUAGAGAAGUGCUUCCAGGAACAAUGGGAGCAGCCUCCCGUAUGCAGAAUGGGAGCUGUCAGUGGGAAUUAGUGUCCCACAGAUCCUCCCCAUCUCCCAGUGACGGAUCCAGAAGGUGUGCUUGUGGGGUCAGGUGGGAAGGCAAAGCACUGAAGGUUGCAACACAUCCAGUGUAUAGAGAGUAUUAUCAAAUUACUUUGUCAUCUUUAACAGCCCUGCAGGGACUGCAGUGGAAUCUCAGUCCCUUUUUUAAUGAAUGGAAGUUUUACCCCGAAUAGUAAGAGCAAGAUAAAUACUUUUAGCUGUUUUACUUAGCUCAUUUUUUCUUUUCCUCCCUUUUUUUUUUUUCCUUUAAUUUUAAAUAAUUACUGUUUUAAAGCCAGCCAAGGCACAUAGGGUUAAAGAUGUAAAAUCUCAGCAUGGUGCAAUAAAGCUGAUACUGAAAUAGUGUAUCCCUACUGUAGGAGGAAUCUGCAAUCAGGACUUCCAAGCACAUGCAAAAAAUAACUCUUGGAUCAGUCUUCUUGUCUUCCAGUAGACUUGGCAAGAAAGGCAAGCCAUAUGUGAAGCCAGCCAUAUAUCAGUUAUGUGGUCUUAGAUAUUUGCAAUAAAACAAAGGACUUUGCUGUCAGCCCUUCCUGAUUUCAUGAAGCCUUUACAGCUCACAGUAAUGUCUCUUUAUCAAAACCCACAAAGUUAUCCUUAGACAUGUGCAUUUCUUAGGGAAAAUAUUCUCUGAAAUAGCUAUUUAUGAUUAAAUCCAUCAGGGAAAGGGGAAGACAUGAAAGGACUUAAUACAGCCAGUUUCAGCCAUGCUGAAUGCAUCUAGGAAUAACAAACGAGUGUAAAAACAAUUAAAAAUAAAAUAAGUAAGACUGGGGGAAGGGAAGAGGGUAGAAGAAUUAAAAUAGACAUACACAAAACAAUAUGAUCAAGAAUGAAAUCUUUGUGACAGUGAUGUGGAUGCCCUGGUAAAUUAAGUGGAACUAAAACUUCACACCAGAAUUGCUCCUGGCCAUUUAUUUAGGCAGUAUUAGCCAGCAGUUUCAUGCAGGGAUCGUGCUAGGAGUGGGUUCAAGGAAAAAAUUUUGUAAGGGUGUUUUUCCCAGCCAAUGUGAGGUGGAUGGUCUGCACACAGGGAACAAGAAAGAUGGCUGAGAAUAGUUCAGAGUGAGCCACGAAGAGAGGUCAGGAGCUAAUGAAAAGUUAGCCCCCGGACCUGCAAAACCACGGGGAUGUGAACAGCCCUAUGCGUGUGAUUGCUCAGUUAUGUGAAGUUCACUGCGUGCUCAAGCUCAGGGUAAGAACUUGUUUGAUUUGAUGUAGUAGUGAGAGGAGUCAGGGGCGGGAUUUGAAAAGUGACGUGAUUGCAGCAGUGCUUUUCUGAAACAACUUUACAGAAAAAAUUCGGAGAGUGCAUUCCUUACAAAACUGAUAAGGUGUUACUAUAGAACUGCAGUAAUGACUUUGGCAAACAGUUUGUGCAAAUUUCUAGACUAUAAUUGCAAAUGUGGAUUUUUAAUCAAAUAUUAUUAACUAUUACAUAAUGAAAAGAAAUAAAAUCCCAAUAGACAGAUUAGCAUUUUUACUCUCUUUAAAAAACCUGUUUUACAAUGUUCCUUUGAGCCAUAUCCUAAGUUUUAAAAGCAUUUGGGUUUUCUAGAUCAGAUUCUGCAAGGCUCUUGGGCUAACUUUAAGUAUGUGAUUUGUCUAAUUGGAAUUAGCAGCUUGCAACCACGUAUGUUCCUAAGGAUCUUGCCAUGUCAUGCAGGUUUUCUUUUUUUUUUUUUUUCCUACCUUAAAACCCAAUCAAACAAACAAAAACCAUAGUUAAAAUCGACUCCUGUCCCACCUCUUUUUGUUUAUUUAUUUAUUUUAAAUUCCCCUAUGUUAAAUCUUCACAAAAUCUUUCUUAUCACCUCGUGGAUUAAUUGCCAGUGAAAUAUUUGCUUUGGAAUGAGUAUCUCUUACUAAUGUGUCCUGCUCAGUGUUUAUGACUUAUAACUAUUCAGGGCAACAUACUAUAUUAUACAAAUAUUUGAAGCAAUCACAAGGGGGGCAAUGCUUUAACAUAAUCCUUCACUCACAAGUUGCCCUUGCAGCCCUUUUCAGUUACUUUUCAUUAUUUCACCACAGGGGAACAGUCUCAAUAAAUUAUUGUAUUAACAAUUACAUUAAAAAUGAGCCCUGGAACCCCUUUCUCUACCCCAGUAAAUGUCAUUUAACAGUUUUUGGUGUGGAAAUAUGCAACAGAUAAGUCAAGUGGGUUUUUCUUCUACUUCUUACAGAGGUAUGAAAAUAUCAGUAGAUGCUCAGAUCUCCGCUACUCAAAACAUUACGGGUCAGAUCCGAGCAGAGUGGAGAGGUCAGUGCUCCAUCAUCACAGCUUUAUAUCAUUAUGGGCUUUAGGGCAUAAUAGCCUGCAAGGAUGCUUGGUUAAAAGAUGGGAAGGAAACCUGAAAAAGGUUAAUUACGGCACGCACAGCACUUGACAGUUCCUUUUCAAUCUGAUUCAGCUCAGCUGUGAAUGCCACUGUGUCUUCUGCACAAAGAUCCCGCUCGCUGCUAUGCCACUUGCUGUCACCCCAAGGCAGUUGCGUGGUUUGCCCACAAGGACAGAUCCCAACCCCAAACACUGCAUGUUUUCCAAAGGGUGCACCUGCUUUGCUGUGGAUUUGGUGCUUAGAGCUUGCUGUCUGAAGCCUUAACACCCAGAAACUUGUUUUGACAGUUUGGGUUAUGUUCGUUAGGGAAUCCAAGGAGGGAAUAUCUCUGGAGGGGGCAGGGAGGAGAGGGAAAGAAGCACAAACAAAACAAAAACUUAAGCCUGUGACUAAUUGGCUGAAAGGAUGUGAGCAAUUCGGCUCCACUUAAUUGAAUGUGGGCUCAAAUUAAAAAGAAAGAGUAAUUGCCUUCAAAACUUUGCAUUGUAGAUUGCUGGUGAAAGGCUUAGAAGGUGAAAGCCUUAAAGCACAUGUGUCAGUGAUGUUGUUGACAGGAACCCAAAUAUCCUGUUAUAUGCAUCUGCAUUCAGAGGACUUCAUUCUAGAAGGGAUUAGCCUACAUUAUAUUGAUGGUUUUAUUUACAAGAUGAAUUUUCAUUAAAAAGGUACCCUGAUUUUUGCUAGAAAUUUCAGAAUGUGACCAUGCCUUCUAACUGCUAGCUGCCUUCUAAACAUUUCCUGAUCAGAGAACCUGAAAAUAGCUCUUCAGAUUUCAAAGUAAAUAUAAAGAAUCUCUGCAUUUGGUUACAAAUCCGCAUAUUCUUAUUCAUUUGUUCCUUCAAAUUUAGGGAGAACUUCAUCUGAGCAAAGGGAUAGUUGUGUUAAACACAAAUAACCAGGGAGUAGGGAGUCAAGGAAUUUACCUUGAAAGUACAAAUCUGAGUUAUGAGACCUUUUUAAAUAAAAAUCAGGAAUUAACUCAUGCGGUCUGUACAUUGCCAUUUAUUCUUUACAUCAAAGCUGCAUCCACAAGUUCUAGCCCCAUUGUGCUAUGCACAAAGACACAGAACAAAAGAAAUGUCCUACCUCUCAAAAUAAUUCUCUGCAAGAGUAACAAAGACCCUUUGUUUGCUAUUUAAGCAAGAUUGGUGGACAUCAUCUUUAAGAAGAAGCUCUGAGAAUCAACCUUUUCUGUCCUUUUCCAAAUAUGCAUAUGCACAUUUUUUGUGAGUCUGCUACAGUAAAAAGGCUCCUAAAGGAAAGAAUGGAGCAGAGCAAAAGGAAAAUAUUACUUUAUAUUAAUAACAAAUGGAGUGCACAACGCAUUCCACAUACAAAGGUUACCCAUCUACAGAGAUGGAAGCCAAGGGCAUUUUAAAACUUAAAGAUCCUUUAAAUAAACAUAUUGGUUUAAGUAGGAAGCAAAUAUUCUUAGCUCAGCAGGUAGUUGGUAUCUAAAUCACAUUCAGACUUCACAUAAAUACACAUGUCAAAGCAUUUAUCUAGUAAUAAAAAAAACAACUCUUAAGGAAUGCAGUUCAGAUAGGGAAGUGUCAGGUAUUUUGCACAUUUCCUAUUUCCAGCUCAUUAGUUUCAGCUUUUGACAGGGGUGGAGCUGAAAGAGGGGGUCAGAAAUCCUGUGGAGGUUUUUCUCUCCUCCCAAUUUCACAUGAAUAAACAGAGGGAGGGAGUCCCCUGCCUGUCUGCCAGGCUCUUAUCUAUCAUAUUUAGAUGCUAGAUGCUGUCAGAUACUAGAUAGCAAUGCCUGUAGGUAUUGCCAGUUACUGGGAAAUUAAACCUGGAACAGAAGAUACUCCUUUUCAUUCCCAAACUGACCUUAUGAUAUGAGUAGGUUUCAACAUCCUUCAAAAAACACUGAUGUCCAGACAAAGGUGGCAUUAUUAUAUUUUCAUCAUUUGCUACUCACACCUGAUUAUUAUUAUUUUUUUUCUCAUGUUGUCCACAAGUCUCUUACCAGCACCUUAUCUGUACCUUUUCUUUUGCCUACAUUAAUGUGUUCCUCUCAAAUCCAGGUUCUCUCACUCCGGAAGUUGUGGGUUUAGUACUGCACUGCUGGUUUUAAUUUGAACUUUCCUGAGUAUUAGGGAUUAUCAGAAAUACCUUGUUUUCAAAAAUAAAAUAGAAAGUGAAAAAAUAUACCUAGUUUUCCUUUAUUUCCCUAAAAAACAUUUCAGAAAAUGACAAUGCUUCCCUAGAGAGCGUUACUGUAAGAGGGACUUCGAUCUAAUUCGUGGAAUAUGUGCCUAUGAUCACUAACAGUCAAGUUAGCAAUUACCACCCUUGUGCAAGAAGAUACACACUGUAAGCCAAGAUAAGAUAUCCACACAAGCACACUGUCCCUACUAGCAGUAGAACAAACCUAGCCAGCACAAACUGCAAUAUAAAUGCUUUCAUGCAUUCAGCUGCUCUUUCAUCUGAAGGCUGAUAAAUUCCAGCUGAUGGAAGUUAACUUCUUAAGACACUGUUGGAGCAUCCCUUGGUUUGUUGUUGGUAGGAUAUAAAUUAAUAUUGAUAUUUAAGGUACUUUGUUUACAGAGAGGAAAGCCAGCAAUAUGGCCUAACUUUUGACUGAGUGAGGUCUCAGAGGUUACUUUGCACUGGCAUGAUCAUCCACACCUUUGGAUUACUUUUUGAAAAAUCUUUGUGGAUCAUGAGAUGCUUCUACUGUGAUAUGAAAAGAAAAUGACUGGCUUUGAUUUGAUGGUCAGGUGGAAUUUCAGUUUGGUUCCUAUCACCUCUCAGACUUGCUUAGAUGAUUCUGUUCCUAAAGUCUGUAUGGGUGUCAGGAAGAACAAUUAUGACUUGUUUUAAAGCUGUUCUGUUAGGGUCACAGGUGAAGUAAAAGACCCAUAACAUUUACCAAUAAUCAUUAGGACAGAGCAUAAGUAUUCACUUUGAAUUAACUUGUAAGCUAGAAGCAUUAACAAAGGCUGCAGGAAGUAUAAUUCUGGGAGGCUCAAAUCUGAAAUUUAUUUUGUCGCACUGUCAUAAAGGGGGUGCAACUUCUUUAAUGGAUUUGAGCCGUUACUAAAUGCAGUAGAGAACCAUAGGAUUCAGUGGACUUCACACAGCCAGGAGUUCAGAGUCUGCCCACUGUGGCUGGUGAGCUAUUUCAGAUGUCUGUUUCUAGCAGAAAUAGACCCGAAAGUGGGUUUACUCUCAAAGAAGAAAAAAGUAGGGUGAUGUAAAUUUCUCUUAAUUUGAGACUACAUUAUGGCCUGCUGCUGCUCAGUCAAAGAAGAUCAAAAAAAAAAAAAAAAAAAAAAAAAAAAUAGUUGCCUUUCUUGCUCUGAGUUUCUAACUGUCCUGCUCAGAUUGUGAAGCUAACAGUAGCUAAUAAAGGAGUAAGUGAACCAAACAUGAAUAACAUUUAGUUUAAAACCUAUCAGAUGGCAGAUGGGCCAUGUCUCAUAGGUGUCGUGGAGACAGUUCAGUGGAGAAGAUGCUGACCUAAUGGUGGCAAGAAUAUACUCCUGCCACUGCUGAUCAUUUUUCAUGGAUUCCCAGUUGGUUGUUUGAUAUGCAACUCCAAAAUUUAUUGUUUUUCUCCUUUUUCUUUCCUUUCUGUCAGCCAAUAAAGAGAAACCAUAACAUCAGCAGUGUUUGAAAACAUAUUUAUGUUUGUUUCCCCUAUAAAAAGAGAUAAUAAUGUUAUGUUCCAAUAAUAUUAAGUUGCAAUGUUAUUUGCAAGAUUGCAGAGCUUUUAAUUUUCUGAUUAUUUCCACAGUGGGAGUUUCAGCUCAAUUUCUACUAAGACAUUUCUAUCUGUUUUGGUUAUUUUUUUAUUACAGCUAGAAGCAACAAUAAUUGCCUUUAGUGUAUGAAAACAUGACUGAGGAGACAAUUGUCGUCCCUAAAGACUAAAAUCAUCAGCAUACAUUUUUGAUGUAAAAUUUUUGUAAAUUAAUUGCAAGGUCCUAUAAAUAUUAUAUUUACUAAAAUUGUGUUGUCUGCUGUCUUCAAAGAAAUAAUCUUUUCCUUUUUCUUUCUCUCUCUUUUUUUUUUUAACUAUGUUUCGUAUGCAGUACAUUUCCUGAGGCAGAAAACAAAAACAUGGAACAAAAUAUUAGCCUUUUACUUUUGUAGUUUUACAUUCUACUAUUUCUCUUUUUGAACUCUGGGGUUUCUUUUUAAUAUAGAGAAAAAGAUCAGUAACACUGUCAUUAAUCAUGACCAAUUUUCAGUUUCUCACUGUUCAGUUGAUCAAAAAAUUGAAUAUCCAUCCCAAAUAAUAAGGCAGUAUUCUUGCAUUUGAUUUUCUCACAGACCAGGAAAAUAAAUUCAAAAUGUCAAACGUUUUGUAGAAUAUCUUUUUCUGCAAUUCCUAUUCAGAAACAAUAAAAUGAAAUCUUUUAGAUGUCUCAUAAUGAAAGUGCUCCCACCCAGUUACAUCCUGGGAGAAAUUAUCUAUCACGACUUAUAAAGGAAAUAUCGUCUGCAACCACCCAUAGAGGAACCUGACAGACUGUCAAAGACCUGGAACUACAGUUGUCAAAAGUCCCUGAGAUAACUUGGGUAGAUGCCAAGAUUAAUAAGCCUAAUUAAAAUUACACUACUUUAUUUCCAUUUUUUCCUUGUAGAAUAAUAAACCACAGUCAGCCUAGAUUUUGUUUUUUAAAGAUCUAUUUUUUUACCUGGCUGUGUUAACAUCUCUCCAGUUGCAUUAUCUCACAGUCUGGUAUGUCCUGUGCAACCCAGAUGUAUAGUUGUUUCACAAGAUUUAUGAGUACAUGGCAAAGUUCUCAAGACAAACAGAUUAUGUCCUUUCCGAAUAGCUGUGUUUGACUGCAGGAGCUACAGAGUAUUUUGGAUAAAUGUGCUCAGCAGGCCUUUCUUUGAAGGAGACAGAUAGUGUAACAGCUAAUAUCAAGAACAGUGAUUAGCACCAAUAGAUUUUAGCAGAUUUACUCCAGUCAUAAUGGUAGCCCUUAAACUUGAGGAGGCAGUGCACUGGACUUACAUUAACUCUAGCAAAUUUGCUCCUAGAAAAGCAGUGGAAAACCUAGGGAAGAUUCUUACUAAUAAAGCACACUUUCAUAAGAAAAUCUGCUCUCCAAGGAAGAUCAGGGACAAGAUUAUACAGACAACCAGGACAAAAAUCAGUAGACAAGAAAAACUUCAGAAAUACUUAGUCUGUGGUUACUGUCUAAGAAUUAACUAUUUUUUUAUUUUUUAUUUUUUUGUUAAGACAGAUAUCAGGUCACUUUUUGAGACCAAUCACAGCUGCAGCUAUACCUGGAGUAGGACCUUGCUUUGGUUCUUCAUGAUUGCUAUAUCUAAAGUACAGCAGGAUGCAGCCAGAUAUGUCAAACUGCCCUUGUUUUCAACCAGGUAUUAGAUUCACAACUUCCUAAUGUAAAGAAAAAAAAAAAUUAUCUGUACUUUUGAAGACUGAAUUCAUCUCCAGGUAAUACAAAUGAGAAACGGUGCUCUUCCCCACAGUAAUAGGAUUGCAAUCAAGCUCUCAAUGUGAUUUACAAACUCUGUAGUGUUAACCAAUUACUUGCUGGUCAGCCAAUAACAAUGACUGAAUCAUCUUUUGCUUCAGAAAAGGAUCACUGCGCACAAGUUGGAGAAUCUCACAGCACUGCCUUCAAACCAUUCCUACUAAAUAAGACACUGCACUUCUCUGUCGAUAGAUACUAUAUGGUAUUUUAGCCCAAGAAACUUAUGUCAGGAUCUAUAAAAACAACUGGGAACAUGCAGAAUAAUUGAAUCUUAAAUGAUUGUGUAUAAUGUGUCUGCAUUUAUAUUUCAGCAUUUAAAUGCGUUUCAAUACUUUGGUGUGUGAAAGGGUUAAACAAUAACAGAUUUCCUGUGCUAAACAGCUUAAUGAAAAACAUUCAGGGUGCUUUUUUAGAACAACAGACUCAUACUGCAAAAUGAUAAUCUUUGGUAUGUCCUUUUUUUUUUUCUUUUUCACAAGUAACAAUAUAGGCGAGACAGACUUUGCUAUAAUUCUUCCUAAUUGCUCUAAUGCAUUUCAUUUUAUUUUAGUGUUUUCAGUUUAUAAAAACAGUUAGCAUCAGUUUGUUUCCAGUUUUAAUGGAGAUAAACUCCUUCUUUUCCCCCUGAAAAAAUUCACAAUAUGGUUGGAAAUGUCAGCAAUAAUUAGACAAAAUGCUUGUGAAACAUAAAAUAAAAACAAUACGUCUUUUUAUAAUGGAAUCAGUUUGUCUGAUUAUCUCAAACAAUGUACAUUUCCAACUGCCCAGGAGGGUCAUUAGAGCUUAUGAAAAUCAAAGUCUGCUUUUUCUGCUUCAGACAUCAUGGACAACAAUAUUGUCUCCAGGAUCAUUAUAAAUAUAUGUUAGACUUUCUUGAACUACAGUGAACCUGAAGCAUGAAAUGCAUUUAAAGAUAAAAACAUCAGGGGGAAAAAAAAAGAAAAAAUGAAAAACAAAACAAAAAAGCAAACAAAUAAAUCCACUUUGUGUUAUUAACUAAAUAAGUGUUACAUAGAAAUUAUAGUUGGAUACAUAACCUCGCUGAAUACAGUACUCAAGGGACCUUGGUUCUAUUCUGUCAUCAGUCACAGAUUUCCAGUAUAACCUCAGAAAAGUCAUUUCCUACCCUAUGCACAAUGAGGGCUAUUUGUCCCUUAAAGAGAUGGUUGUGACAGAGCUCCCUUCUGAGUUCCUGUCUAGGUGUGAAGUCUAAUUCAAGAAGUUUCUGUUAUUCCUUUGAGAUACACUCAGAGAAUAGACAAGAGUAUCACUUCUACCUUUUUUCCCAUUUGUAGAAAUGGGGCUAAUAUUCUCUUGCUCUCACUGGAGAGUUUAUGGAUACAAUCCAUUAGUGUGUGAGAGGCAUUCAGAUACCAUGAUGACAAGGACCAUUUAGCAAGUAAAUAUCUGGAUGGAGUAGGAGGAAUUCAGCUGCUGUUACCACAUUACAUUACAAAUAGUUUAGGACAAAAGACAAACGGGAAGUCUGAUAAGUUUAUCGUAUGAUCAGUUAUAGUCAUACAACAAUUCUGCACUCAAGGAACCUGGAAAGCUGUUUCAAAAAUGAAGUUUCCACCUGUUUAGUUUGUUUACCAAUAAGUGUGGCAGUAUGCCUAUUCUGCCCAGUGGUUUAAGCACUUUUCUCCUGCUCAUACAUGCUGGGUUUUCAGUCUUCAAUUGCAUCUUUCAGAUUCAGCAGCAGUGUCACACGGCAAGAUGGAAUUCUAGGGAUGCUGCUGCGUUGUUUUGGAUGGGAUCCUACUAUAUCAGCUGCCAAAGUGCCCAAGGAAAAACUGAAACUUACAGGAAAAUUAUAGCGACAUGAAGAAAUUUCAUUAAAAGUGACAUGUUCUAAACCUUUUAGAAAUACAAAAAUCUGUUGAAGAUCCCAAGAUGUGUGUAGAAAAUGUGGGUAAGAAAAGAAAAUGCAUUACUAAACUAAUCUAAAACCAAAGCAGGUAUUUCUCUGCUAUAGUAUUGCUACACAUAUGCUCUUGUUAGUACAAGCAAAUGCUUACCAAUAAUGAACAAUCUCUGUUGGUUGCAAUGCUCAAGCACAAAUUAAACAAUGCUAAAAACUAUUAUUAAAGCACAUGAAGGAAUUAAUACAUAAAAUCCUUCUGCUACUUCAAAUUCACAGCAAAGCGAUUCCUCUCAGCUAAGCCAUCAGUACAAUGUACAGAAGCCUAUUUUUAGGAAUGGUUAAGGGAACAUACUUUCCAUGGAUCUCCAUGUAUUUCAAGCCUACUAAGGGUACAACCCAUCCUAUCAGAGUAGGUUUAUUUGGAGGAGGAGGACAAGGAUCCCUGCUCACACUGCCUCCCAUGGCAUGAGAAAUGAGAAUAUUCUCGACAUCCCAGUAGCAAUAGGAGUAGAUAUGAUCCACUGUAAAAUCCUGUGAGCUUCAUUAUCAGUUUCAGAUGAGGGUUCUGUUUGUAAUUAGCAGAAACCAAACCAAUGAAGUAGUAUUUGGUUUUCUUUUGUGUGUUUUGCUCUCCAACAGUUGCUGAACACUUCAUUUUAGUCCACCAAUUCCUCAGCUAGUGACACAGCCCAGUCAGGGUCACAGGCCCAAAAUGUAUUCCACCUCUAUGCUCACCUGUCUCUUAAGCAGGGAAAUUAAAAUUCAUUGUCAAAAUAAGCAGAGAUUUUGCAGAUUGAAACAAGAGAGGAAUAGCACUUCUCUCUCUUGUGUCUUCUACAGUGUAACACAGCAGAGAAAGUAAAGCCCAGGGAAAAACAAAUUAGAGUGACCCCAAUGUCCUGAAGACAAUAUUUUCAAGCUUCAUCAUUGAAAUAAAGAUUUGAGAAAUCACCAAUCAACAGCUCAAAUCCACCAGAAGCAGAACGUCAAGUUUGGGCCCACAUGCAGAUUCUCACAUGAGGCUUUCACAUGGUAAACAGCCAAUGUUUGAAAAGGCACACAGCAGAAAUUGUUGGAAGAAACAUUAGCUGGGAGGGCAGGCCCAUUGCCUUAGCUCUCCAAGGCAGACUGAAACAAUAGCAAGUGACACAGAUGAAUUUUCACCUUGUCUACCGGUACUGCCACAGAAAGGAUGUAAUGCAAUCUCCUGAGAAGUCCAUUGUCCUCAUGGCACUGUGUGAAAUCUGUGACAAUGUCAGAACUUGGUCAUAGCUCCACGUUCUCUGCCAGAAACAUAAGCAUGCUUCGAGUGCAUUAUUCUUUUAGAGGGGGGCCUCGAAAAGUUCAGCUGUAGGAUUUUCUCAUCAGCUUAAUUUUUCCAUGUUCUGUUUCGUUUCUGGUAUUUUCCCACUUAUGUUAUUUGCUUGCUGAAGCUGCUCCAUUCAUGGAGUUCAGUAAAUGGUGUUUGCCAUCAGAACAAUUUGAUUCUAGUUCUAAUUAUAACAACAAGCUGCUUUCUUCAAACAUAAUAUGGGUGUUUCAUUAUUUUAAAUUGUUAUCUUCCAUAUUAAUUACAGAAACAGUUGAUCUUUUCUGAGAAACCAGCAGCUGCAAAUUCCCCCCUUUUUAAAUGUCUCAUUUUAAUAGGUGAAACAUCAGGUAAAAAUUAAAUCAGAUUGUAUCAUAAUUCUCCAGAAGAAGAUAUGUAAGUUACAACACAUUGCCUCCAUAUUCCAUAGGGUUACACUAUUCAGGUGUAUUCAACCAUGUAGCUUAGUAUAGAUCACACAGCUCAGUUGCAGACACAGUGCCCCUAAAUAAAUCACACAGCAAUGGCAACAUUACUAAUGAGACUAUCAGAAUCAAAGGAAGCAGGGUGAUGCAUCUGAGUAGAGCCUACAUCAUUAUUCUGCAUGAUUUGUUUAUGGUAUUGUUGGUGAGUCGUGUUUCUCCCCCCUCCUUUCCUAGUCCAUCUGGAUUAAAAAUGGGAACUAGAAGAACUGAAGUCCUGGAAUAGCCUGUACACAACAGUCCUGCAGUCAUAAGGAGGGGUGGUCUGGUGCUUCUUGCAAGGCAUCUGAUUACACAAACUCACUUAUCAUCUGUACUCUGCAGCAGUUCAAGAACUGAACUUCUGACAGUUUUCUUCUGUCACGUAUUUGUAGCUACUGAUCUCCAUGAUCCCUGAAAGAAGUAUAACUCAGUUACUGAGCCUGCUGACACUCAUGUCAUACUUUUUUCCAUCCUCACUCAAAGCAGUGAUCGAAAUUUAUUCCUAUUUUGUGAAGUACAGAGUAACGAAUUUCCAAUACUAGUGGCUUUUUCUCCACAAUAGAACUCCACAUUUCUGAAAGGGAAAGUUAAUGUUGGAGAUGAGAAUAUGCUACCAGCAAAGCUAAGUUAUUUAGCAUUUCUACAGUAUUUAAAAUUUCUUCAGAUAAAAUAUGAGAAUUAUAUUUAAAAAAAAAAAGAAGAAGAAGAAGAAGAAGAAAAAGACAAACAAACACAGAACAGUUUUCUAAAGAUGAUAUGUAAGCUGCACAACACUGAGAUUCUCCUUGGACAUAAAUUGCUGACAACAUGUCAAAUCUUUUCCACAACUGGGAUACAUUUACAUUGUUUUAAACAUGGAGUUACUUCUUUGCUGUUUAGGAUUUGGCCAAAUUUAAACAUGCUUGGAAGACAGAGACUUAACUUCUCAAAUAAUUUAUUGAUUGCCGAUAGAAACAUUUUUUCUUAAAUUGUGCAAAUAAGAGCUAGAUAACAUUGAGAAUAGGAGCUUUCAAAACCUCUGCACUGAUCACAUCUGACAAACAAGAUAGGAAAAAAAUAUUAAAAAAAAAAAAAGAAAAAGAAAAGAGUUUAAAAGAAGAGUGAUAACAACACAACAAAACAGCAAAACAAAACAACACAGAAAAAACAACUCAAAACACAACCCAAACCUAGAGCUUAACCAAAUAAUUCAAUGUUCUUCCCCAAAACCAAUGGAGAGAGGAAUAUAAAUCAUGAAUUUAUAAUAAAAAAAAAAUGAUUUUUUUUUCCUAAAUCAAUGGUACUCCUAAACACGCUUCAAACAAUAAAGUAAGACUUUGCAGUGAUGAGUAGUUCAAAACAAUUCUUCAACCAGAUGGUUACAACUGUGGUUUUCUGUACUCCCCUUUCAUUUUCCCUUUCUUACAUGUCCCUCCCACUUUGCAUCAUACCAAUUAAUAUCUUUCCUUCCCUAACAGCCCUCUAGAUAAUUCACAGAGGCAUUUUUCUGUGUGGCCUAGCAUUAAACAGAAACUAUUAAACAGUCAACUCCUAUUUCUUCUAUAGAAUUAAUGUCAUGUUAACUCACAGAAUGCCUUGCUGUUUAAUCACACAUGAAUGAGGUAUUUUAAAGAAGUUGUAAGGUAUUUCAGCCACACCCUAAGAACAUUCCGCUGAUUUAAACCAGGAUGCACUAAACCUGUUUUAGAUACAGUAUAGGAACACUACUUUUAAUUGCUAAUUUUUGCCUUACAAAUCUAAGUAGAAAUAACAAGGAAAAUAUAAUGCUCUUUAAAACAGAAAAAUUGAGUUGAAGUUUUGUGCAAUUUGAUGCCUUGCUGGCAUUUUAGGACUUACUAUUAAAACUCACAUGAAAGUAACCUGAAGGAAAGUUCUCUGGAAGGACAAAGGAAUCAAAUUGUGUCUUUGAUGCUUAUAGACAUAUUCUGGAGUGAUUUUAUAUUGAAUCCCACUUCCAUGAGAACUAUGUGGUUUUAUUCAUGGAGGUGUAAGCACCUGAGCACUCAUCUCUAUGAGUAACAAUAUUCAGAGUUCCAUUGUAUUCUAUUAUAUUAUGACUAGCAGCCUCCAAAUCUGCACUGAAGUAGUUUGAUGCAUUAUCAGCAUUUUGAUCCAACCAUAGCUCAUUAUCUGUGGUCUUACUACUGAUGUGUCUCCAGUCAUGACUCAGAACGGCAGUGCUGGGGCCCAUGUGACCAGAUCCCCUUUCAUCUCCGGGGCUCCAUUUUCUUUAUAAAACAAAGAGGUGCCAUCACAAAUGUACUUUUUGGCAUUUCCCUGUCAGCCAGAAUCAACCUGCUAACUGAUAGGUGUGCUGUGUCUCCUAGAGGGUCUAGAUGUGCAUAUGUGGUUGCAUCCAUGCUCAGAAACAAGGUGCUUAAUCAUGGCAAAGUACAGGGACAUUAAAACCCAUCCAGUUCCAACCCCCUGCCAUGGUCUGGCUGCCCCCCAACAGACUGGGGCCCAGGGCCCCAUCCCACCCAGCCUUGAACGCUUCUAGAGGUGAGGUACCUACAGCUUCUCUGGCAGCCUGUCCCAGCACCUCACCAUUCUCUGAGUAAAGAAUUUUUUGGUAACAUCUAACCUAAAUUUCCACUAUUUUAGUUUAAAGCCAUUCCCCCUUCUUCUAUCACUCUUAUACAGUGUUUCAGUGCUAAACAUAUUAAUUACAUAUCCCCAGAAAUUUUUGAACUGCAGCAGUCAGGCUGGAAGGGAACAGUCACAGCAGCAGCACUUUUAGUCCCAUGGAGGAAAGAUUCCAGAUCUCAAAUGCCAGAAUUCAUGUGUGCAGAGAGCACCAAGAAGUGCUGCAGAGAGCACCAAGAGCCAACAGGAACGAUGGUGCCUUUUAAUCUUGGUAAUAAAUGAGCAAAUGCAGCAAAGUAGAAUUUAUCUGUUAGCACUGACAGUUGUUAAAGACCAUGUAACUGUCUGUAAUGUAUAUAGAAUUAUUGACAUCAGAUGUGUUUAUAUUUAGGUUAAACAACUAUAUUGUUUUUAUAAGAGAAAACUGUUUCUGAAAACAAUAGGCCAAAUUGCUUUUUCUUGCUAAGAACAAUGAUGCAAUUCUGCCAGUACCAACAAUUUUUAUUACAGAAUCAGCUAACUGAAAACACAAGGCUCUUUAACAACAUGUAUCUUACAAAGCACUCCAGUGCAUGCUGAUGCUGUUUUGCUUUGUUUGCCAGUCAAGAUGGGUAAAAGCAAUUUGUAUUUUGCAUUUUGCUUGUUAUUUCACUUUUCCUUUGUGUGGUUCCUCUUGCUUUCCUUUCUUUUCAUGCAGGCAAGCUCCAUUUCUUCUAAAUUUUUCACUAUCAAAACUACUUCGAUGAAAUCAGAGUCAGCUGAAGAGAAAAAGGCAAAUCCUUCCGGGAUGAGGAAGAAACAGAAGGAAAAGAGAAGAGAAUUGAGAUGGAAAAUACAUUCUUGUCUCCAGAAAUAAGCAAGGCUCCCCAGAAUUUGGAGAUUAUGCAGUCACAGUUACCACAGCAAACGUAUUCUGAGCCGUGUCUUGGACCAUCCCAUUAAAGAUUUUCAAAUACACAACUAUAGGACUGCUUGCAAGAGGGCUGCAUAUUUGAAAUUUGUUUAAAUGCUAGUGUUAUGGAAAGCAUAAUCGGUACAGAUAUACCAAAACUGAGUCUGUAAAACAGAAAAUAAACCUUGCCAUUUGCCAUUUAGAGGCAGUUUAAAACAAGGUCUUUGACUUUGGACUGUACCUGGCAGGUUAGAGAUUCACUAGAUGUGCAGAAGAUGCAGCAAACUGAGAUCAUAGACUAAUGAUUUAGAUUUAAGAUUUAAACUAUAUCUCAUUGUCAUUGAGAUAACAUAAUAACUGAAUUAAAAAAAAAAAAAAACUGGCUUUUGUCAGUGCAAAAAUUAAGCUCUUGUGCUUGCCUCAGUAAUGAAAUAUACAACAUCUCUUGUUGUCCUUACCUUUGAACUGCAGAUAACUGUACAGCAAUGUUACAGGACAGAGAUACACUUGUGAAAUAUUCACGAGCUGAUGUCUUUGCAGCCCCACGGGACCAGUGAAGAGCUCUUUUUUCCCCCACAUCUCUCUCUCAGACUUUAAAUAAUGAGGAGCAGAAAAGGUAUGAGACAACAUGUCUGUGUGUCUCCUUUGAAAUCUUUUCUUACAUUACCUUGUUAUCUGUGCUCAAGAGCAGCAGGUAUUCCAGCAGUUCAGAGUGUAUCCACAGCAAAAACACCCAGCAAAAUAGACUACCAGUCGACACAGCUUUCAGUUCCUGGUCCAGUCGGCAAAACACAAAACUAAUACAUAGGGGAGUGCCAGCCUGGCUGAGGCUAGAGGGGAGUGAAGGCAGAAUUUUUGCCAACCAGUGAUUUAGGAAAAUAUAUAUUAUUCAUCCUGGAAAACAACCUAAUGCACUGUUUCCUACUCUGUGCUCUGAAAGUGCCUUCAUAUGGAAAGCUAUUAAACUUCUAUAUGUUUUUAGCAUUACAGCGUGGAUCAAAGCCUGACCACCCCAGGCAGAUGAGAGUGUCAGAUCCCUCCACCAGUCAGGAGGAUUUGGAUCAGUGUUUUCACUUUAGCCGUCAGUGGUGAAGAAAUCCAUCCAGACCUGAAUUUGGAGUUUUUCCUAUGCUACAGUACUGUGCAUUGGGAAAGACCAUCCUGAACUUACUAUGGGUGGAAUUCCACUUGUUUCUACCACUCUAAGUCAGGCUGGAGCAUGGACAAGAAUUAAAUCAGACCAGACUUAUCAGGGGAAUUCACCUUGUCAUCAAGGCAAACGUAACACUUUUUUUUUUUUUUUUUUUUUUUGAGGAGGCAUCACAUUUUAAAUUUCAAGUGCUGUAAGUCUUCUAACCCCCUUUUUUUAUUCCUUCUGUGAUACAAAAAUGCUUAUAUAACAGGUAUUUUCCCACACCAGCCUUAAAAGCCCUUAUUUCCUUUCUUUUUUUAUUUCAACAGACUAAUAGUCAUUGCAACACAGGUGACAGUAAAUCAAAUCAAGUUGAAAUGUCGGCCUGACUCAUUCUCAGACGAUAUAUGAUUUGUUUGCAUUGCAUUAUCUUGGAAACCCAUAGCCAGUGUGCACUAACUACAUGUCUGCACAUGGCAAGAAGAUAAACACCCUUAGCCAGUAAUAUAAAAUCUAAAUAAAAUUACAAUCAGGUUUGUAUACUAGGAUAGCUUUGUAACACCCAUGGGGCAUUACUCUUAUCAUUAGAAUUAUUUGCAUUAGAGCAGUGUCCAAAGAUCCUGCCUAUGAUCAGGUUCAAAUUGUGCUAGGCUCUGGAAAACAUGGGAAGAGACAAAAAUUCUGAAUGUUAAAUAGAUAAUUACAUGCAAAGGGUGUGAGAAAGAAAGGAUGGCUAUCAUUAUUUUGUAGAGAACUUAGGUGUGGAGAUUACAUUUUUGCUACAUUCUAAGCAUAGGUGCAAAGCAAUGCUGAAGUACAAGUCUGAUUUGCAUGUUCUUUGCACACCAUAACAUGUGUAGGUUACCACGGCUUUGUGGAAAUACUGAUAACAGUGGGAGAGAAAGCUUGAGUCUUCCAUCUCCAGCCACACACAUGGGCAGCUGGAAACGGGUGGCUAGGCUUUUCGCCUGAGGCAACAGCCACGCAUCCUGUCAUGCUGUCCUCUGACACUAUUUGAGUGCUGAUCAGACACGCCUGCCCAAGUUGUUCCCAUAAAGGCUUAGAGCCCUGCAACACAGGAUAGAUGGGCAGGAGAGUUACAGGAACGCCAAGCCCAGAGUCAGAUACCUGAAUGGAUGCCCAGACAACAUGAGUGGGUUUUUUGUUUAUUUUUUCUUUUUCCUCUCUUGGGCAGACCACAUGUUUUCUGUAAAGUCAUAAAAAAAUCUAAGUGGUGCUAAGAACCAGUCACCUCACUCCAGUUUGGCAUUUGCAAAUUCACCAUUCCUCUCUAAGGUAACAGCUGCUGGAACUACACCAGCAACUUCUUCAAAAAACAGGACAAGUGGUCUUUCAGUGGUGAAAGAUCUGCUGAACUCAAAGGAAGCUGCAUCUGGAGUAACAUUUCAAUGUAUACGCUGUGCAUGCUUACAAGUUUUAUGAUUACAGAAACAGCCAGCACAAUGCUGGGCUGACGAAAGAGGGGGUGGAUGUUUAGAUGCUGCUGUUUCACUUCAUGUUGGCAGGGAUAUGGAAAUUAUGAAGUGAUAAGGAGAGAUGUAAGAGGGAGGAGAAGGCAUGAGUGAUUGAUUAUGUGCUUAAUUAAGCAAUGUUGGCCACAUCAAGUUGUAGUGAAGUCUCUGUACAUCUGUAGCAUGCUUUUAGUCCCAGGCAAUAAAUUGGCUACCUGCCUCUGAAUGGACAGUGAGGGGAAAAUACUUUUGAAGGUAGAAAUGUUGGCUAUCCAGAAGCGAUGGAUGGUUACUUACUAUUUUUUUUUGUCUUUGAAGACUGUAUAUUAUCAGUUAACAUAAUGAACUCACCAAGUGGUCCAGUAACCCACGGAAGUAAUUCUACUUAGAUCACUGAAAUAAAAGGCAGGAGCAAGGCUUUCAGACUUAGGCCUCAAACAAAAACUAACAUUCAAGGAUAGCAAGCUUUUCCUCCUGUUUAAGCUCCUUUAAUAAAAAUGCAAAUAUUGCUUUCUUAACCACAAUAGGAACUCUAGUCAUUAUUUUUCAAUACUAAUGUUAGUGUUUUCCUAUAACUUCUGUUGUGCUGUAAUUCUAGAGGCCCAUGUCUAAUCCCAUAUGUAAUGUGUUUAUUAGAUGUAAUAUUUUAUCUCUUGGAUACAGUUUCUGACACUAUCAUUUUGUUCUUAUUUCAAUAAAACUGAUUUCCUUCCUUCUCACCCUGACAGGAUGCAUUGAAUUUCUUUAUCACAGAAGAAAGUUAGAAAGGUUCUCCCAUAAAAGACAAAAAUGGACUGCAUGUAGUGUGGCUUAAUUUAAUUUAUCUCAUAAAGUCCAGACCAAAUAAAGUAACUUUAUAAUAUUAGAUACGGCCAGAAUUGAGCUGGGAUUCUUUUGUUGUUGUUGUUUGUUUUUAAUAUAUGGUUAUCUAGUCUCAGUAAAUCUGUAGCUCAUUGGCUUCACCACCUGUAUCCUUCUGAACACAGAAUGAAACAGUACCAAAUGCUCAUGCAAUUUCUGAUUUUCUUUGGGAAUUCACUAUCUGUGUGCUUUAAUCAAGUGAUAAUAUGUAGGAACCAUUCCAGCUUUCAGCUGACAAAAGCACAAUAUUAGUUGUUUGAUGAGAACUCCUCUAUGGAUACAAAUUCCACAUGGAUUUUCCCAGGCUUUGUAAAUUUAUUAAAAAAUAAUAUAUUCUAUACACAAUUAGAACAUGAAUGUUAAAAGAGUAAGUAAAGUAAUUUGUUGGGAAUGUGAAAUCAUCUAGAAAAGAAAGAUGUUUUCGUAUAAUUUUAGCUGUCACAUAAUAAUUUGCAAAACACAGAAGGCAUUUGAAACCUUUGGUAUCCAGAUCCAGAUUCCCAGUAGAAAAGUAUUCCUUUCAGGCUACCUUCUGGAAUAAAGGUCUUCUUUAUCUCCUUUAUCAUAUUGGUAGUGUUUCACUAAACAGACAGUCAGAAGCUGCUGUUGAAUAGGGAAGCUGGAAAACGCUCAUCUUAUUUCAUAUUCAUUUUCCACACCUUGUCAACAACUGCACAGCUCACCACUGAAGCUGCAUUUCAUGCAAUGCAUCCAAAGGUUACAACUUAUAGGUCAGAGAUGGGAAUUUUCACUUCGCAAUCACUGGGCAGCUGAGACUCCAUACAUUACUGUGGUGACAGGUAUAGUACGCAGUGAUGAACCUUCUGUCAGUCAGACAGAGGUCACAUUGGUAUCAGUUACUAACAUACCCCUCUCCUAGCUUAAAAAAAAAAAAAAAAAAAAAAAAAAAAGGAAAAUUAAAAAAAGUCUAUUUUUUUUCUUCUUGUGGAAAAUGGAAACAGAGUUGAUGUUCACUAAUGUCAAGUGGCAGGAGAUUUAGAGCCCCAGAGCUCAGGAGGUCUCCUGUAGCUGUGCUGGCAGUACUUUCAGCACCAACAUAAAUCGCCGCCUGAACUGAAACCCACAAAAGCUGUUCCAGAAGAAACUACAACAGCCACGUAAACAUGUACUGGACAGGAAACAAUGAACUCCAACCUGGUACUGGAGAAUCCAAAAUAAGAGCAUGUCAACUUCCUGGUCAUAGCUAUUUUAUUUUUUUUCGUAUUUAGCAUCACUUACACAAAAACAGUUAAAAAUUAUUACCUUAGCAGACAGUCAGAUUUUUAGUUUUUGUAAUGAGGUGGCUGAAUCUCACAUUAAAGAGGAAGCUGUAACACAAAUAAGAGGAAGUGAAUAAGUACUUAAGAUGUACCUUCAACUCCGUAAUUUUAACGCUUUCAUGAAGAGAUCAGAAUACAAAAUCUAUCAUCAUUAAUUAUAUCCUGUUAUACCAUCCUUGUGUUCUUUGCCAAAUAAAUGCCAUAACACAUCAGAUAACAACAGAAUAUUUACAUUACAAAGGUUAAAGGAUCAUGCUAUCUGUAGCUAGGUCAAAGUAUUUUGGUCAACUGCAAUAAAAUUUUGUCUGAAGGUCCCCAGAGGUUAAUGCGAUCACUGAACUUCACAGUCAGUUUAUGAAUAAGACCUUAAAAGAAUAUUCCUAAGUUCCUGCAUUUUCCUACUUGUGGUACUUGAACAUCCACAAGCAAAUACUGGCCUUCCUAAACAAGACAGUUGGAUGACACAUUUUUUUUGUGUCAAAAAGGAAGCCCUUCUUCCCCUCAAAAAAAAAGAAAAAAAAAAAAAACCUAGCAUAAAGCAGACUCUAUACACAUGGAAUAAAUUGAUUUUACCAAGGCUAAAUUUGUCUAGUGGAGCCUAUACUUGAGAUCAUUCAAGCGCUCUCUUGAGUUAUCUCAUUGUAGCAGAGUUUGCAGGACAGGGCCUUGAAUUUGUUUCUGCCAUACAAAGUUGAUAUAUAAGAAGACAGGAUUUAAUUGAAACAUCUUGAAAGAG
rnacentral:lncRNA from 1 species